rnacentral:rRNA from 1 species
AGGGUUUGAUUCUGGCUCAGGAUGAACGCUGGCGGCGUGCCUAACACAUGCAAGUCGAACGAAGCUUGACGGAUGAUUUCUUCGGAAUGAAACCAGAUAUGACUUAGUGGCGGACGGGUGAGUAACACGUGAGCAACCUGCCUUUCAGAGGGGGAUAACGGCUGGAAACGGUCGCUAAUACCGCAUGAUGUGUUCGGAUGGCAUCAUCUGAACAUCAAAGAUUUAUCGCUGAAAGAUGGGCUCGCGUCUGAUUAGAUAGUUGGUGGGGUAACGGCCUACCAAGUCGACGAUCAGUAGCCGGACUGAGAGGUUGAACGGCCACAUUGGGACUGAGAUACGGCCCAG